CCCGCCGGCGACCGGCGCACGGGUGAGUAACACGUAUGAAACCUGCCCGUAGCAGGGGGAGUAAGCGGAAGAAAUUCCGUCUAAUACCGCGUAACAACCCAUGGAGGCAUCUCUGUGGGUUUAAAGGAAGCGAUUCCGGCUACGGAUGGUCAUGCGUCGCAUUAGCUUGUUGGCGGGGUAACGGCCCACCAAGGCGACGAUGCGUAGGGGUUCUGAGAGGAAGGUCCCCCACACUGGUACUGAGACACGGACCAGACUCCUACGGGAGGCAGCAG
rnacentral:rRNA from 1 species